GGUAUCUUCUGAAGCUGAAAUGUCUGACGAUGAGAAAGAUGACUCAGGCAACAGUUCAUAUGAUGAUAGUUUCAUAGAUGACAGGACAAAUCCCACAGCAGCAAGUAUUCAAGCUGAAACUAGUAGAGUUGACAUGAUGGCAGUUUACAGGUCUCUCUCCCUCUCUUCCUGUUACGUACUUGUGUCCCAGUCCCUGCUGGGAAUUCCAGCUUGAUAGAAGCCAGCUUCCUUUUCAAAACCAUUGACAGGAAAUAAGUUCUCUGUUAUUUAUGUAUGGUUUGUUAUCAUUGCUGGCAUUGUGAUUACUUUGCUGCUGUGGUGAGUCAGGGUUUCAGAUUUCAUACAAAUAUUUCAUGAUGUCGUUAAAUAUAUAUCUAUUUUCUGGAGAGCAAUUGCUUUCAUCAUCUUAAAAAUAUCAGUCCAUUUCUUUCAAAAUUAUGUUAUUGCACUUGGAACAACAUCUGAAACAAGAUUGAGUAAUCAUUAAACAAUCUAUAUCUAUUUGUAAAAGAUUUGGAGUUUUUUUUGCUGUUAAACCAAACUCUUUUUUGUUUCACAACACUCAGCUCCUCUAUGUAAACAAUUCACUAAUUUCUUUUCUUUGUAAGUGAAUCAUGAAUGUCAUCCAGUUUGGUCUGUGCACUAGUCAAAUAAUUUUUUCUACCAAAGUCAUUUCUGGUCAAGUAAUCACCUGUGUUUUUUCCAUUUCAUUUCUUGGCUUUUUGCUGUGUUGAAUUUCCAGAGUAUACAAACUAACUGAUUUCAUGCAAUA
rnacentral:misc_RNA from 1 species